rnacentral:rRNA from 1 species
GGAAUAUUGGACAAUGGGGGGAACCCUGAUCCAGCCAUGCCGCGUGAGUGAAGAAGGCCUUAGGGUUGUAAAGCUCUUUCACCGGUGAAGAUAAUGACGGUAGCCGGAGAAGAAGCCCCGGCUAACUCCGUGCCAGCAGCCGCGGUAAUACGGAGGGGGCUAGCGUUGUUCGGAAUGACUGGGCGUAAAGCGCACGUAGGCGGCUUAUCAAGUCAGGGGUGAAAUCCCGGGGCUCAACCCCGGAACUGCCUUUGAGACUGAUAGGCUCGAGUUCGGGAGAGGUAAGUGGAACUCCGAGUGUAGAGGUGAAAUUCGUAGAUAUUCGGAAGAACACCAGUGGCGAAGGCGGCUCACUGGCUCGAUACUGACGCUGAGGUGCGAAAGUGUGGGGAGCAAA